ensembl:lncRNA
CACUUUUUGGGUAGAGCAGACUUUGAAUCUAUCUUGGAGCUCCCUCUAGUGCUUUACCGGCCUACUGCAACUAAUAUUUAACAGGAGGCGUCGAGAAGAAUGGCUUUGAGCGGCUCUCGAUCGGGACAUGCUUCUGCAAAGACUGCAGCAACUUGUUUUUGUUUGCUUUUUGUCUCUUGGAAACGGCCCAGUUUCUCCACUUUGAUGUGAAAGAAAGAGCGCUUAUUUGCUGCCAUUGAAGCCAAAUAUACUGCCAUUUGAUGAACAAAAAGAGAACUUUGCCAUGUGUUAUGUGACUAAACACUUUACAUGAGUAUCUGUUGACUCAGAUCAGUGGGAUCAUGUAUUGUGAACUGAUGUUUGGAGCAAAACUUAUUUGUACUUGUUUGUUUAUUUUAUUUCAGAACAUUAAACAAAAAGUAUCUGUUUGUUCAGACUUUGGCUGCACAUGUUAAUGAUAGCUGGAAAACUGAAAACUUCUUGCCAAGGCAAAUAGCAUUCACCAAAGUGAACUGUAAUCCAGGAAUCUGAACCAGCAAAUUCUUUGUGCUAGCAUUCUAGCAUUUUUAGGGAACAAUAGUGAAACCUGCACGCAGAAGGAAAACAAAGAGGGGGAAAAAAAGAAAGAAAAAAAAAAGAAAUAGCAUGCUGUUCUUGGCACUUGAAUUUGUAAUUUAUUACUCUCUUGUCAGUUUGAACCUGCAGAUAUUCCUGUCAGUGUUCCGGUAUGGGGCACCACAUCCACUCUUUCCAACCUUCUGCAUUUCAACAACAGCUUUCAGAGUGCUUACCAUAUGUUUGGAUCCACCUGCAAAACUUCACUUAAAUAAGCAGUGGUCUUUUGGGAGAUAAUUUUCUUCCACAGGAGUCAUUAAGAAUACUAAGUCAAAAGCAGUGUAACCCCAUUGUAUCUGCAGUACAAGCUUACACAGUAAUACUAAGGAUACAGGGAAAUUAUGAGGUGUGCUGUAACUCACAUUGUUACUGAGGAAAUAAUGCAUUUUGAAUCAGCUUGAAUUUUAACAGUGAAGUACCCCUGUAAAUUCUUUCCUGCUAUAUUCUUUACUGCAGGCCAAACAAAUGUAUUUAUCACAAGAGACAGUUACAGAAAGUUCUGUAUCCUUCCUCACCUAGAGCAAAGAC